rnacentral:rRNA from 1 species
AUCAGUGCUGAAAGCAUCUAAGCACGAAACUUGCCCCGAGAUGAGUUCUCCCUGAGACUUUAGGUCUCCUGAAGGAACGUUGAAGACGACGACGUUGAUAGGCCGGGUGUGUAAGCGCAGCGAUGCGUUGAGCUAACCG